rnacentral:rRNA from 1 species
AACGAACGUUAGCGGCGCGCUUAACACAUGCAAGUCGUGCGAGAAAGGGAGCAAUCCCCGGUAAAGCGGCGCACGGGUGAGUAACACGUAGGUAACGUGCCUCCAGGUGGUGGAUAACCUUCCGAAAGGAGGGCUAAUACAGCAUAAGACCACGGCUUCGAAAGGAGCUGAGGUCAAAGUCGGCCUCUAUUCAUAAGCUGACGCCAGGGGAUCGGCCUGCGGCCCAUCAGGUAGUUGGUAGGGUAAUGGCCUACCAAGCCUAAGACGGGUAGCUGGUCUGAGAGGAUGAUCAGCCACACUGGAACUGAGACACGGUCCAGACUCCUACGGGAGGCAGCAGUGGGGAAUCUUGCGCAAUGGGCGAAAGCCUGACGCAGCGACGCCGCGUGAGUGAUGAAGGCCUUCGGUUGUAAGACGUCUGUGGAGGAGGACGAAUAAGUACGUAGCGAACAGACUCCGACUGAUGACGGUA